AUUGAACGCUGGCGGCAGGCUUAACACAUGCAAGUCGAACGAGUGGCGGACGGGUGAGUAAUGCUUGGGAAACUGGCUGAUGGAGGGGGAUAACUACUGGAAACUGUAGCUAAUACCGCCUACCAUAGGAUGAGCCCAAUUGGGAUUAGGUAGUUGGUGAGGUAAAGGCUCACAAGGCCGACGAUCUCUAGCUGGUCUGAGAGGAUGACCGGCCACACUGGGACUGAGACACGGCCCAGACUCCUACGGGAGGCAGCAGUGGGGAAUAUUGCGCAAUGGGGGCAACCUGACGCAGCCAUGCCGCGUGAAUGAAGAAGGCCUUCGGGUGGUAAAGUUCUUUCAGCGGCGAGGCGUUAACUGCAGAAGAAGCACCGGCUAACUCCGUGCCAGCAGCCGCGGUAAUAC
rnacentral:rRNA from 1 species